rnacentral:rRNA from 1 species
AACGGGAUUUAGUAAACAGAAGCCUCGGUGGAAGAUUACUAAUGAGAGUGGCGAACGGGUGAGUAACGCGUGAGCAACCUGCCUAUGACAGUGGGAUAGCCUCGGGAAACCGGGAUUAAUACCGCAUAAAAUCGUAGAAACACAUGUUUUAACGGUCAAAGAUUUAUCGGUCAUAGAUGGGCUCGCGUCUGAUUAGCUAGUUGGUGAGAUAACAGCCCACCAAGGCGACGAUCAGUAGCCGGUCUGAGAGGAUGAACGGCCACAUUGGAACUGAGACACGGUCCAAACUCCUACGGGAGGCAGCAGUGGGGAAUAUUGCACAAUGGGGGAAACCCUGAUGCAGCGACGCCGCGUGAACGAAGAAGGUAUUCGUAUCGUAAAGUUCUGUCCUAGGGAAGAUAAGACAGUACCAUAGAAGAAAG